GCACUCGUGGCACAUGGAGGUUCCCAGGCUAGGGGUCAAAUCUGAGAUACAGCACCAGCCUAUGCCGGAGCCACAGCAAUGCCAGAUCCGAGCUGUGCCUUCGACCUAUACCACAGCUCACGGCAACGCCAGAUCCUUAACCCACUGAGCAAGGCCAGGGAUCGAACCCACAACCUCAUGGUUCCUAGUCAAAUCCGCUUCCGCUGUGCCAUGACAGAAACGCCUCUCUUUUUUAAUCUUUGCUAAAAUAUUGAUUUGUCUUUUUAUUUUUAAUAACACAACUUCAUAGCAAAAAAUUCAAAACCUAAAUAGGACUGGUGUGUCUUUCUGUAGUCAAUAUGAAUAAAUACAAACAUCUUUAGCCAUAAAAAAAUUAAUGAGCUUAAGGACAGGCACCAGAUUAAAACUGUAUCUUCAAUUGGAACAUGGUAUGUUAAGAAGGAGAAAUGAGACACAAAAGAGAAACACAAUAUUUGGACCAAAUACUAAGACACAUGCUUAAAGAUUAGGUUUUAAAUACAGUAUUUUUAGGUUUCUCUUGGUCAAAAUGUGAAAAAUGUAGUCUCUUUGUCUGGAAUGGCCUUGUGAGUUAUCAUCCUCAAGGCUCAGGCCCAUCAAAACGUGCCUUCAAGAAAGGCUAUGUUAACAAUUGAUACACAUCUGUGUUAAUCCCUUGCUUCCUGUGACCCUGUAUAUCCCUAUGUUAGGAGAGUUACACUGGGUGUAACAGCUGUUCAGUGAAUGUAAAUUAAUUAUCUGUCAUUCUAGAAAACAAGACUUUCCCUCUCAUUUAUGACAUUUCAAAUAUUUCAGAUCAAGGAGGUAACUCUGUAGUAAAAUUUACAGUCAGUGUCUUCAAAAGUGAAUUAAAGGAUGUAAAGUGACUAUGACUUAUUUAGCACUUAUAAUGAUGAUACCAGUCAUAGGAAACCUUACAUGCCACUGACUAAAAGCCAGGUACGUUCUGUAUACCUAACACAUAUCAACUCAUUUAGUCUGUACGUCAACCGUGCAUGAGUUUAACGAUAAUACUGUCCUUAUUUUACUGAUAAGGAAAACAGAGACACUCAGACCUAACUUGCCUGAUAUCACUCUGCUAAAGGCUGGCAGAGCCAGGAUUUGAACCUCCAGAGCCUCUUCUCUUAAUUGUUAUGCCAAAUGUUAUGAUAAAGCCUUGUGAUGGUUGAUUUUACGUACCAACUUGACUGGGUCAUAGGGCACCCAGAUAUUUGAACAUGGUUCUGGGGGAGUCUGCCAGGGUCUUUCUGGAUGAGAUUAACAUGCAAAUUACUAGCCUAAGUAAAGCUGGUUGCCCUUCCUAAUGUGGCUUGCCAACUGGGGAUCUUGGGACCUCUCAGCCUCCAUAACUGUGUGAGCUAAUUCCUUAUAAGAAAUCUCUUUACAUUUAUCUUCUGUUUCUCUGGACAACCCAGACUAAUACAGAUCUUAACAUAUAUAAUCUCACAUCUACCAAACAAGAAAAAUAUUAGUCAUAUUUUUAUAGAUAAGGAAACGGAUCCCAAAAUGAUGUGCAAACUUACACGCUAGGGAGCAGAUUUUGUAGCCCGGAUUUGAAGCCAAGUCUAAAUCUAGAGUCCAUACUUUUCUCAUAGUUGUAGUACCUCUCUGAACAUCAGAAAACAGAUGAGAAAGUUUCAGGCUAAAAGAAAACAUUGAUUUCCUAGUCUUUCUAGGAAAUACCCUAAUUCCACAAUGGUGACCCAUUAAACAUCUCUGUAGAUAACUAUACACCUGGAGACCCCAGUGAAAUUCCCCCUUGAGUGGAAAAGAAUGCGUAGACUUAUUUUUAAUUAUAAAACAGAUCAUACAACUUCUGAAAGUUUUAAGACUCCAUACUAACCCUUAAAUUUUAAUUGAAUCAGUGAUAUUUCAAUCAACCAUAUUUAGCACCUUUAGUUCGUGUUCAGGAAUCUCACCAUCUCCACUUUGAUUACAGAUCAUUUUUCUCUCCCUUGAAGCUAAGAGGGCACAGAUAAAAUUAAUUGGAAAUACUUAAGGCUUUUAGACGAGUUCUUAGACUACUGUAGUUAUAGGAGAGUAAGCAGUAACAGAAACCAGGCAUCCCUUCACACACACACAUACACAGGCACACACACACACUAUAGUUAUUUCUGAUAAUAAUAAAAUCCUACAAUGACAAAAAACCCUCUUCUAACAUUCUUUGCCAUUAUAAUAGCUGUCUUUGACAACUAAAUACCAAGUGAUCCAAACAAAUGUUAAUUAGCACCCCGCACUUACAAUUCAUAGAGACAGGCCAUCAUCUGUUAAUUAUCAGACCAAUAACAGAGUAUUGAUCACAAUUUGUCAACUUGGAAAUAACUGAAACCAGCUAAAGAAGAGUAGACUCUUUGAGUAAACAAUAGGCUUUCACUCCAGAAGCAUUUAGCCAGCUCCCUAUUAUACAUUACCCUCCUCAUCAAUAAGUGCUUUUCAUGUAAUUGUCUCUCUCUUGAUUGUGCUGUUUUUUUAAAAAUAAAAAUUAUGUGGCUUAGUGAGAACUUAUUAGGCACAUAUAUCAUUUUGGCAGCCGAUAUCAAGUCAUGAUGAAAUUAAGGGAGUCAAUACCAGACAGAAGUCAUACAUCGGUGUUUCCUAUUUGCCUGUACCUUGAAAUACUGUUGGUUAAAUUUGUUUUUCAUCCAUUAAAAAAAAAAAGCUUACUGGGUGCCAACCAUGUGCUUUCUAGAUGUGGGUUGAAUUAUUCUUACAUAGACGUUCGUGUUCUAAGUCUCAAUGUGCAAGGCAAAGAUACAUAAAGCAGUCA
rnacentral:lncRNA from 1 species